rnacentral:tRNA from 1 species
GCCGGGGUGGCGGAACUGGUAGACGCGGGGGACUUAAAAUCCCCUAGGGUUCACCCCCUGUGUGGGUUCAAGUCCCACCCUCGGCACCA